rnacentral:tRNA from 1 species
AUUUAUAUAGUUUAAAUAAAACAUUACAUUUUCACUGUAAAAACAAUACAUAAGUAUUUAUAGA